GCCGACAGGGCGGCUUCCGGGUUUGGCGGGGCCUUUGUCUCUUGCUGUGGCCUGAGCUCCUGGUCUCGUCUUCACUGCUCUGUGUCCUCUCCUCCUAGAGGCCCAGCUUCUGUGGUCCUGUGACCUGCAGGUAUUGGGAGAGCUACAACUAAGACGCCAGGAACACCUGGAAGCCUAGAAAUGGAGAACCUGAAGUCUGGAGUGUAUCCUCUCAAGGAAGCAAAUGGAUGCCCUGGGGCUGAGAGGAAUCUUCUGGUGUACUCUUUUUAUGAAAAGGGGCCGUUGACAUUUAGGGAUGUGGCCAUAGAAUUCUCUCUGGAGGAGUGGCAGUGCCUGGACACUGCUCAGCAGGAUUUGUAUAGGAAAGUGAUGUUAGAGAACUACAGAAACCUGGUCUUCUUGGGUAUUGCUGUUUCUAACCCAGACCUGAUCACCUGUCUAGAGCAAGGAAAAGAGCCCUGGAAUAUGAAGAAACAUGUGAUGGCAGAUGAACCCCCAGUUAUAUAUUCUCAUUUUGCCCAAGACCUUUGGCCAGAGCAGGGCAUAAAAGAUUCUUUCCAAGAAGUCAUAUUGAGAAGAUAUGGAAAAUGUGGACAUGAAGAUUUACAGUUAAGAACAGACUGUAAAAGUGUGGAUGAGUGUAAUCUGCACAAAGAAUGUUAUAAUGAACUAAACCAGUGUUUGACAACUACCCAGAGUGAAAUAUUUCAAUGUGAUAAAUAUGUGAACGUCUUUUAUACAUUUUCAAAUUCAAAUAUACAUAAGAUAAGACAUACAGGAAAGAAGCCUUUCAAAUGUAAAAAAUGUGACAAAUCGUUUUGCAUGCUUUUACACCUAACUCAACAUAAAAGAAUUCAUAUUAGGGAAAAUUCUUACCAAUGUGAAGAAUGUGGUAAAGUCUUUAACUGGUUUUCAACUCUUACUAGACACAGAAGAAUUCAUACUGGAGAGAAACCCUACAAAUGUGAAGAAUGUGGCAAAGCUUUUAAGCAGUCCUCAACCCUUACUACACAUAAGAUAAUUCAUACUGGAGAGAAACCCUACAGAUGUGAAGAAUGUGGCAAAACCUUUAACCGGUCUUCACACCUUACUACACAUAAAAGAAUUCAUACUGGAGAGAAACCCUACAAAUGUGAACAAUGUGGCAAAGCUUUUAAUGAGUCCUCAAACCUUACUGCACAUAAGAUAAUUCAUACUGGAGAGAAACCCUACAAAUGUGAAGAAUGUGGCAAAGCCUUUAACCGGUCCCCACAACUUACUGCACAUAAGAUAAUUCAUACUGGAGAGAAACCCUACAAAUGUGAAGAAUGUGGCAAAGCCUUUAACCGGUCCCCAAAACUUACUGCACAUAAGGUAAUUCAUUCUGGAGAGAAACCCUACAAAUGUGAAAAAUGUGGCAAAGCUUUUAACCAAUUCUCAAACCUUACUAAACAUAAGAUAACUCAUAUUGGAGAUACAUCUUACACAUAUCUAGAAUGUGAUAAAGCCUUUAGCCAGUCUUCAACUCUUACUAAACAUAAGGUAAUUCAUACUGGAGAGAAACCGUACAACUGUGAAGAAUACAGCAAAGCUUUCAACCAGUCCUCAAACUUUAUUGAACAAAGUAAUUCAUACUGGAGAGAAACGCUACAAAUGUGAAGAUGUGGCAAAGCCUUUAACCAGUCCUGAAUUCUUACUAAACAUAAGAAAAUUCAUACUGAAGAGGAACCCUAUGAAUGUGAAGAGUAUGGCAAAGCCUUCAACAAGUCCUCAAUUCUUACCAGACAUAAAAAAAAUCAUACUGGUGAGAAAUCCUAGAAAUGUAAAGAAUGUGACAAAGCCUUUAAAUGGUUUCAGAGUCUCACUCAACAUAAGACAAGACAUACUGGAAAGAAACCUUUCAAAUGUAAAAAAUGUGGCAAAUCGUUUUGCAUGCUUUUACACCUAAGUCAACAUAAAAGAAUUCAUAUUAGAGAGAAUUCUUACCGAUGCGAAGAAUGUGACAAAGUCUUUACGCGGUUCUCAACCCUUACUAGACACAAGAGAAUUCAUACUGGAGAGAAACCCUUCAAAUGUAAAGAAUGUGGCAAAGCUUUUAAGCACUCUUCAACCCUUACUACACAUAAGAUGAUUCAUACUGGAGAGAAACCCUACAGAUGUGAAGAAUGUGGCAAAGCCUUCUGCCAUUCCUCACACCUUACUACACAUAAGAUAAUUCAUACUGGAGAGAAACCUUACAAAUGUGAAGAAUGUGGCAAAGCUUUUAACCAAUCCUCAAACCUUAGGAAACAUAAGAUAAUUCAUACUGGAGAGAAACUCCACAAAUGUGAAGAAUGUGGCAAAGCUUUUAACCGAUCCUCAAACCUUACUACACAUAAGAGAAUUCAUACUGGAGAGAGACCCUACAAAUGUGAAGAAUGUGGCAAAACUUUUAACCGAUCCUCAAACCUUGCUAAACAUAACAUAAUUCAUACUGGAAAGAAAUCUUACAAACGUGGAGAAUGUGGUAAAACCUUUAACCAGUCCUCAACUCUUACUAAACAUAAGAAAAUUCAGCAGGACAUGAAAAUAAUUCACACUGGAGAGAAACUCUACAAAUGUGAAGAAUGUAGCAAAGCUUUUAACCAGUCCUCAAACUCUUACUAAGCAUUAAAAAAAUUCAUACUGUACAGAAACCCUAUGAGGGUGAAAAACAUGGCAAAGCCUUCAACAAGCUUUCAAUUCUUAACAGACAUAAGAUAAUUUAUACUGGAAAGAAAUUCUACAAACAAGAAAGAUGUGACAAUGCUUUUGACAACACCUCAAACUUUUCUAACCAUAAAAGAAAUUAUGCUGGUGAGAAAUCUUAGAAAUCUGAAGAAUGAGACAAAGCCUUUAAAUGGUUGUCACAUUUGAUUGUAGGCCAGGUGUGGUAGCUCACACCUGUAAUCUCAGCACUGUGGGAAGCCAGGGCAGGUGGAUUGCUUGAGCCCAGGAGUUUGAGACCAGCCUGGUCAACAUGGAAAAACCCCGUCUCUAC